GGAUCGAACUCGGGUCCUUGUGCUUACGCAGCAGGCAGUGAAACCACUUAGCUAAAUCCCUGGCCCCUUGUUGUUGUUUUUUGUUUUGUUUUGUUUUGUUUUUUGGUACCAGGGAUUGAACUUGGGUCCUUGCCCUUGCGCAGCAGGUGGCGAAACCACUGAGCUAAAUCCACAGCCCCUUGUUAUGAGCACUACUAAUAUUGAAAGAGCACCUAUAAAACCACCUUUUCAAGAGCAUUUCUAAUACACUUUUUUUCCUUUUUGUGUUCCUGGGGAUUAAAUCCAGGGCCUUUGCCUUGACCCACAUCUCCAGCCCUCCCUAUUUUUAAAAAUUUUGAUUCAGGUUCUCACUGAGUCACUAAAUUGUGAUCCUCCCUUCUCAGGCUCCCACAGUGCUGGGAUUACAGGCACGGGCCUCCAUCCCUGGCUCGGCUUUAGAGACAGGGUCUCGCUCUGUGGCCCAGUCUGGCCUUGAACCUGUGAUCUUCCUGCCUUUGUCUCCCAAGUGUGGGGAUCACAGGUGUAUAUCACACACCCAGCAGAUAACAUUUAUUUCUCAGCCUUAUCUAGCAGAUGGACUAAUCCUUAGGGUGAAGAUCUCAGUCAUUGUUCUCACAGUGACCCUGGCACAUGACCUACACUGCAGAGUGGUCAGGUCCCUUCCUGGGUGUCUGCAUUCUCAAGGACGAAGAGCUGCAGGGAGGGUUCCAGAAGGUCACUACCUUGUCUUUUCCAGGAACUGUAAGAGGACAGAGUGCUGCUGGUGCCUCCAAGAUGGCAAGCACAGACCUUCCACGCAGAACACGGGUGUUGGGGCAGAGAUAAGAGACAGAAAGCCUGGGUUGAGGAAGGCAGCCUGUAACUGCUGAGACAGCUGAGUUGUGUUGGGGUCAACUGGAGCCCUACCUCUGGGGCACAGCAGGUGGCCCGCCAGGAAGGAAGCGGGACUGAGCACCGGGCAUUAGGGCGGGAUUUAGGUCCACUCGCGUUCUCCAAAUGAGAUCUGAGGGCUGGCGAAUCCCAGUGACGUGCGGGGGGGGAUAGACGAGUGUUACCAGGAAGCCCCGACCUCUGCUUGCGGGGAGAGAGGCCAGGAGGGGCGUGAGGGGCCGUGCAGCACACUCAGCCCUCCCCGGUGUUCGGGGGCCUCGGGUGCCCCAACUUCCGGGCGGCUGGGAUCUGAUCUCCUGCGGGCUGCGCCGAGAGCCCCACGCAGAGCGAGCGGAUCGGAGACAGCGCGAUGUUCCGGCUGAGCAAAGCCAGCUGCAAACCUGCUCAGGCGGCUUCCUUUCCCCGGCGCGGGGACCGAACGGGGCCUCUAGCGGCCACUCUGAGAAUGC
rnacentral:lncRNA from 1 species